rnacentral:rRNA from 1 species
CCUACGGGAGGCAGCAGUGAGGAAUAUUGGUCAAUGGGCGCGAGCCUGAACCAGCCAUGCCGCGUGAAGGGCAGGGACCUAUGGGCGUUAAACUUCUUUUGUGCGGGAGCAAUAAUGGUCACGUGUGGCCAGACGAGAGUACCGUACGAAUAAGCAUCGGCUAACUCCGUGCCAGCAGCCGCGGUCAUACGUAGGAUCCGAGCAUUAUCCGGAGUGACUGGGUGUAAAGAGUUGCGUAGGUGGCAUAAUAAGUAGCUAGUGAAAUCUGGUGGCUCAACCAUUCAGACUAUUAGCUAAACUGUUAAGCUCGAGACCGUUAGGGGUAACUGGAAUUUCUAGUGUAGGAGUGAAAUCCGUAGAUAUUAGAAGGAACACCAAUAGCGUAGGCAGGUUACUGGGACGGUUCUGACACUAAGGCACGAAAGCGUAGGGAGCAAACGGGAUUAGAUACCCUAGUAGUC